rnacentral:RNase_P_RNA from 1 species
AGAGUCGGUCGGGCAGUCGCUUGGCAGUGUCGUCAGCACAGUGUGCUGACCGCCUGUCGGGAGGAAAGUCCGGGCUCCUAGGGCAGGGUGCCAGGUAAUACCUGGGCGGUGUGAACCGACGGAAAGUGCCACAGAAAAUAUACCGCCUGAGAUGUCAUUCCCGUCAGGGAUUGACGCCGAGGGUAAGGGUGAAAUGGUGCGGUAAGAGCGCACCGCGCUGGCGGCAACGGCAACGGCAGGGUAAACCCCACCUGGAGCAAGACCAAAUAGAAAUCUGUGAACGCGGCCCGCGUUGGAUUUGGGUAGGUUGCUGGAGAUUUUCAGUGAUGGAAAUCCUAGAUGAAUGGCUGCCGACGAUCAUCUGAUCGUACAGAACCCGGCUUACAGACCGACUCUUUUC